UUCUGCUUCUCAGUCGGUAGAGCAUGAGACUCUUAAUCUCAGGGUCGUGGGUUCAAGCCCCACAAUGAGUGAAAG